rnacentral:rRNA from 1 species
GACGAACGCUGGCGGCGUGCCUAAUACAUGCAAGUAGAACGCUGAAGCUUGGUGCUUGCACCGAGCGGAUGAGUUGCGAACGGGUGAGUAACGCGUAGGUAACCUGCCUGGUAGCGGGGGAUAACUAUUGGAAACGAUAGCUAAUACCGCAUAAGAGUAGAUGUUGCAUGACAUUUGCUUAAAAGGUGCAAUUGCAUCACUACCAGAUGGACCCGCGUUGUAUUAGCUAGUUGGUGAGGUAACGGCUCACCAAGGCAACGAUACAUAGCCGACCUGAGAGGGGGAUCGGCCACACUGGGACUGAGACACGGCCCAGACUCCUACGGGAGGCAGCAGUAGGGAAUCUUCGGCAAUGGACGGAAGUCUGACCGAGCAACGCCGCGUGAGUGAAGAAGGUUUUCGGAUCGUAAAGCUCUGUUGUAAGAGAAGAACGAGUGUGAGAGUGGAAAGUUCACACUGUGACGGUAUCUUACCAGAAAGGGACGGCUAACUACGUG